rnacentral:rRNA from 1 species
UAAUGUAUGGGGAUCUGCCCGAUAGAGGGGGAUAACUACUGGAAACGGUGGCUAAUACCGCAUAAUGACUACGGACCAAAGCAGGGGCUCUUCGGACCUUGCACUAUCGGAUGAACCCAUAUGGGAUUAGCUAGUAGGUGGGGUAAAGGCUCACCUAGGCGACGAUCUCUAGCUGGUCUGAGAGGAUGAUCAGCCACACUGGGACUGAGACACGGCCCAG